rnacentral:pre_miRNA from 7 species
ACACCUAACUCUUGAAGUCACAGCCAUAUCUGUCGUGUUGACCAACUGUAAGAUCCCCUAUCUGGGACCCCCACUCUAGCCUCUGGAGAGAGAGCACACCCAAAGAAACACGAGAAUCC